rnacentral:rRNA from 1 species
GACGAACGCUGGCGGCGUGCUUAACACAUGCAAGUCGAACGGAAAGGCCCUGCUUGCAGGGUACUCGAGUGGCGAACGGGUGAGUAACACGUGGGUGAUCUGCCCUGCACUUCGGGAUAAGCCUGGGAAACUGGGUCUAAUACCGGAUAGGAGCCAUAUUUAGUGUGAUGGUUGGAAAGUUUUUUCGGUGUAGGAUGAGCUGGCGGCCUAUCAGCUUGUUGGUGGGGUAAUGGCCUACCAAGGCGGCGACGGGUAGCCGGCCUGAGGGGGUGGACGGCCACAUUGGGACUGAGAUACGGCCCAGACUCCUACGGGAGGCAGCAGGGGGGAAGAUUGCACGAUGGGCGCAAGCCUGAUGCAGCGACGCCGCGUGGGGGAUGACGGCCUUCGGGUUGUAAACUCCUUUCGCUAGGGACGAAGCUUUUUGUGACGGUACCUAGAUAAGAAGCACCGGCUAACUACGUG